rnacentral:misc_RNA from 1 species
AAAUGCGAUAAGUAAUGUGAAUUGCAGAAUUCAGUGAAUCAUCGAAUCUUUGAACGCACCUUGCGCUCCUUGGUAUUCCUUGGAGCAUGCCUGUUUGAGUAUCAUGAAAUCUUCAAAGUAAAUCUUUUGUUAACUCAAUUGGUUUCUACUUUGGUAUUGGAGGUCUUUGCAGCUUCACACCUGCUCCUCUUUGUUCAUUAGCUGGAUCUCAGUGUUAUGCUUGGUUCCACUCGGCGUGAUAAGUUAUCUAUCGCUGAGGACACUGUAAAAGGUGGCCAAGGUAAAUGCAGAUGAAACGCGUCUAAUAGUCCAUUGACUUGGACAAUACUUUUAUGAUCUGAUCUCAAAUCAGGUAGGACUACCCGCUGAACUUAAGC